UUUCUCAACUUAUUAUCUUUUACGACGAAUUCUACGGUUUGUCUUAGCCGUCAGAUUUGAGUAAUUUUAUAUCAAUGUCCCUUCUUCCCCCUUUCAGAUCUGAGUUGCCUCCAUCUCUCCAUCUGCGUUGAUCCACCAUUUCAUCAACGGUCCGACGACGAAAUACUCCGACAUUAAGUCGCAGUGCGCUCAUGGCAGUACCCAUAGUUGCUGUGAAGUACGUCUCAGAAGUCAAACCACACGAACGGUGAUGCGGAGGACCGGUGAUUCUGACGUCAGCGUUCUCAUCGGAUUUGUAGGUGACCAUCGAUGGCGUCGUUGGAAUCCAGAAGGAUCUUCUCCGCCAUUGACACCAGUUGGAAAAUGAUCGCUCCACGUGACCAUCGCCUCGCCGUCUCAGACAGGCUACCAGAUCCAAAUCGUGUUGCGGCGUCUCAAAGCACUCUCACUUCUCCGAUUCUCGAGAACGUGUCUCACGGCCAGCUUCAAACUCGAUCGUCUGUGCCUUUUGAUUUCGCAAUGACAGUGACUCGCGGUUUUUUUCUAUGUUGAUUUGUUUGUUGUUUACUUGAAAGCCAUUGAUGGCCAUGGAGAAGCAAUGGGUCUAUCAGUGGCAAAGAGUGGAGAUGACGGAGGAGCAGUGGAUCGCGGUGGUGGCAGACAGUGGUGGUGCACGGAGGUGUCGGAUAUGGAUAGAAGAAAAAAGGAAAGGAGAAAAAACUCCGACGGCGGCCAACUGGUUGUUUGCGGUGGAGACGAUGAGAGAUGAAGGAAAGAAAAGGGGCAAAAAAGGAAAAAAAGAAAAAAAAAUGAGCCAUCGGAUGGAAACUAGAAAAAAAAACUAAUGGUCUAGGUUACUUUCGCAAAGUGGGCCACCGUAGAAUUCUUCAUCUUUUACACAUUACUCACUUAAAAUGAAUCUUCUAAUGUAUACCGUGGGAAUGGCCGCGUAUCUAUUUACUUUGAGCAAGAAUAGCCCACUUUGAUUGAGUUCUGAUUU